rnacentral:rRNA from 1 species
CCUACGGGUGGCAGCAGUGGGGGAUAUUGCACAAUGGGGGGAACCCUGAUGCAGCGACGCCGCGUGGGUGAAGAAGCGCCUCGGCGCGUAAAGCCCUGUCAGCAGGGAAGAAAAUGACGGUAUCUGAAGAAGAAGCACCGGCUAACUCCGUGCCAGCAGCCGCGGUAAUACGUAGGGGGCAAGCGUUAUCCGGAAUGACUGGGGGUAAAGGGGGCGCAGACGGCGGAGCAAGCCAGGUGUGAAAUCCCGGGGCCCAACCCCGGGACUGCCUUUGGAACUGGGGUGCUGGAGUGCCGGAGGGGCAGGCGGAAUUCCUGGUGUAGCGGUGAAAUGCGUAGAUAUCAGGAGGAACACCGGUGGCGAAGGCGGCCUGCUGGACUGCAACUGACGUUGAGGCCCGAAAGCGUGGGGAGCAAACAGGAUUAGAUACCCUGGUAGUC